rnacentral:rRNA from 1 species
UACGGGGGGGGCUAGCGUUGUCCGGAAUCAUUGGGCGUAAAGAGCGUGUAGGCGGCCCGAUAAGUCCGCUGUGAAAGUCCAGGGCUCAACCCUGGGAUGCCGGUGGAUACUGUCGGGCUCGAGUCCGGAAGAGGAGUGUGGAAUUCCUGGUGUAGCGGUGAAAUGCGCAGAUAUCAGGAGGAACACCAAUGGCGAAGGCAGCACUCUGGGACGUGACUGACGCUGAGACGCGAAAGCGUGGGGAGCAAACAGG